UACGAAGGGGGGCUAGCGUUGCUCGGAAUUACUGGGCGUAAAGCGCACGUAGGCGGCUUUCUAAGUCAGGGGUGAAAUCCUGGAGCUCAACUCCAGAACUGCCUUUGAUACUGGAGAGCUAGAGUCCGGAAGAGGUGAGUGGAACUGCGAGUGUAGAGGUGAAAUUCGUAGAUAUUCGCAAGAACACCAGUGGCGAAGGCGGCUCACUGGUCCGGUACUGACGCUGAGGUGCGAAAGCGUGGGGAGCAAACAGG
rnacentral:rRNA from 1 species